CAGUAGCCGCGGUAAUACGAAGGGGGCUAGCGUUGCUCGGAAUGACUGGGCGUAAAGGGCGCGUAGGCGGACUGUUUAGUUAGGCGUGAAAUUCCUGGGCUUAACCUGGGGACUGCGCUUAAUACAGGCAGUCUAGAGUGAGGAAGAGGGUUGUGGAAUUCCCAGUGUAGAGGUGAAAUUCGUAGAUAUUGGGAAGAACACCGGUGGCGAAGGCCGCAACCUGGUCCUUGACUGACGCUGAGGCGCGAAAGCGUGGGGAGCAAACAGGAUUAGAUACCCCGGUAGUCCCUGUCUCUUAUAA
rnacentral:rRNA from 1 species